rnacentral:piRNA from 1 species
UAUGAGAUCUGGUGCCCUCUUCUGAUG